rnacentral:sRNA from 1 species
UGAAAAAACAAGGUUUCUUCCAAGGCCACGAGACAACAGGCAAGCCCCAGCACGUCCUUCCCUUGCACACACACUUUCUCCCUGAACUCUACAUCUGGACACAUCCCUGAGGCUUUUUCAGGCACAGUCCCUGCUAGGAAAAGCAGCAGGCAAGUGGGUAGGUGACGCCUCGCAUGUCUCUCCCUCCGCUGUGAUGACCAACUCAUCCCUCAUUGAACUCUGCUGCCCUUUCUCAGGGUCACUGGUCCUUCUCCUGAAAGUGCCCUGUUUUCUCGUCUUUCUCCAUCCAAGGCCAGCUCACUCACCUUCUCCCCCAGAGCCUCACUACCUUCUCUUUUCCUCUGCAGAGAUGGCUCCGAAGUCAAAAAAGAAGGGGCACCCCGGGAGGGAGCAGAAGAAGGUACAUGGGCUCAGGGGCAUCCUUCAUUAGGUGGGACGUUGGGUCUGGCCCGGGCCAGUUCUGCCUGCCUGACAUCAGCCUGUCUGUCUGUCUCUCUGUCUGCAGCACCAUCAUCACCACCAUCAGCAGAUGCAGCAGGCCCCGGCUCCUGUGCCCCAGCAGCCUCCCCCGCCUCCCCAGCAG